AGGGAUAUCCGAUGGUCUGUG
rnacentral:siRNA from 1 species